UACGUAGGGGGCAAGCGUUGUCCGGAUUUAUUGGGCGUAAAGGGCGCGUAGGCGGUCAGCACAGGUCAGUUGUAAAAUCUCCGGGCUUAACCCGGAACGGUCAACUGAUACUGUGCGACUAGAGUGCGGAAGGGGCAACUGGAAUUCUCGGUGUAGCGGUGAAAUGCGUAGAUAUCGAGAGGAACACCUGCGGCGAAGGCGGGUUGCUGGGCCGACACUGACGCUGAUGCGCGAAAGCCAGGGGAGCGAACGGG
rnacentral:rRNA from 1 species